ACGCAAUAGAUACCCAGGUAGUCCACGCCCUAAACGAUGUCUACUAGUUGUCGGGUCUUAAUUGACUUGGUAAACGCAGCUAAACGCGUGAAGUAGACCGCCUGGGGAGUACGGUCGCAAGAUUAAAACUCAAAGGAAUUGACGGGGACCCGCACAAGCGGUGGAUGAUGUGGAUUAAAUUCGAUGCAACGCGAAAAACCUUACCUACCCUUGACAUGGAAGGAAUCCCUGAGAGAUUGGGGAGUGCUCGAAAGAGAACCUUUACACAGGUGCUGCAUGGCUGUCGUCAGCUCGUGUCGUGAGAUGUUGGGUUAAGUCCCGCAACGAGCGCAACCCUUGUCAUUAGUUGCUACGAAAGGGCACUCUAAUGAGACUGCCGGUGACAAACCGGAGGAAGGUGGGGAUGACGUCAAGUCCUCAUGGCCCUUAUGGGUAGGGCUUCACACGUCAUACAAUGGUACAUACAGAGGGCCGCCAACCCGCGAGGGGGUAGCUAAUCCCAGAAAGUGUAUCGUAGUCCGGAUUGUAGUCUGCAACUCG
rnacentral:rRNA from 1 species